UACGAAGGGUGCUAGCGUUGUUCGGAAUCACUGGGCGUAAAGCGCGCGUAGGCGGCCUGUCAAGUCAGGGGUGAAAUCCUUGGGCUUAACCCAAGAAUUGCCUUUGAAACUGGCAGGCUAGAGUACUGGAGGGGAUAGCGGAAUUGCUAAUGUAGCGGUGAAAUGCGUAGAUAUUAGCAGGAACACCGGUGGCGAAGGCGGCUAUCUGGACAGUAACUGACGCUGAGGCGCGAAAGCGUGGGGAUCAAACAGG
rnacentral:rRNA from 1 species